AACGAACGCUGGCGGCAUGCCUAACACAUGCAAGUCGAACGAAGCCUUCGGGCUUAGUGACGCACGGGUGCGCAACGCGUGGGAAUCUGCCCUUGGGUUCGGAAUAACAGUUAGAAAUGACUGCUAAUACCGAAUGAUGUCUUCGGACCAAAGAUUUAUCGCCCAAGGAUGAGCCCGCGUCGGAUUAGCUAGUUGGUGAGGUAAAGGCUACACCAAGGCGACGAUCCGUAGCUGGUCUGAGAGGAUAGAUCAGCCACACUGGACUGAGACACGGCCCAGACUCCUAC
rnacentral:rRNA from 1 species